ensembl:lncRNA
AGCUGACAUGGAACUGAGAGAAGCCCUGAAGAAGGUUGAUCAAGCAUUAACCACAGAGGAGCUGGAGCAAGCAGUGGAAUGCUGUGACUCAUGGAGAUACCAACUCGAAGGUCUUCCGAACCCAGUCAGAAUGGACAACAAAGAUUAAUUUGUGCAGAAUGCAAUACUUUUCCAUGUCGUCAUUCAAUGACAGAGCUGCUAUGAUCAGUUAGUUGAGGGUUUGAAGUACUAUGAGGAUCAUGUCAGCUGAACUCAAUUAAUGAAACCAGGAAUGAAUGCCAUCACCCAUCUUGUGAGCUGUUGAGGGAGUACAACCACAGGCUGCAGAGGGAAAAUGAUUCUCUCAAGGCAAAAAUAGCAACAUUGAAAUUGCUGCCAGACGUUUGCAGAAGAUGGAGGAGUUUCUUCACUCAGCACCAAAACCAACGACAACACCAACACCAACACCAAGACCAAGACCAAGACCAGAACCAACACUAUCACCAGCACCAACAGCAGUUCCCCCACCAGCAACAAAAGACCCAUCACCAGCUCCAGGUCCAUCAUCAGCAUCAGCAACAGACGCCCUGGGUCACUCUGUCAUUCCAAAAGGACUUUUGGAGCGCUGCUCCUUCCUACAGGGGAUGUAUACCAGGGAAUAUAUGGCAGGCCAUUCAGUGACUGGCCAGUCAUCCAGCAGCUGCACAGAAGGAAAACCUGGCCUAGCCAAACAGGACCUUGUUGAAAUAACAGGUAGGUAUAUAGAAAUGAGAAAAGAUGUUGGUUGAGUGAUACCCUCAUUCUCAUGCUCAUCUUUCUUGUAUGUGUUUGUGUGUGUGUGUAUUCCCACAGAUGCUGCAAAGUUGAAGUUCACCUACGUAACUGAUACGAACAUAAAAGCAUUUAUACGACAAAAGCUAAACAAUGCUGCCAAAUUUCA